UGGAGAGUGGCAUAGGCUACUUUUUAUCCCGGAAAAUCCAUGAGUUCCACAGGAUUUUUAAAAACCUAAAUUCACGCAGACGAAGUCGCGGGC